rnacentral:rRNA from 1 species
GCUCGUAGUUGAAUUUCUGGACUCGCCGAGAGGCGGCCUUUGGCCGACCACUCCGCAAGUUCAUCCUCGCCCUUCGGGGCGUCAUUUACUGUGAAAAAAUUAGAGUGUUUAAAGCAGGCUUUAGGCUUGAAUACAUUAGCAUGGAAUAAUGAGAUAGGACCAGGUCGUAUUUUGUUGGUUGCGCGAUUCGGUAAUGAUUAAUAGGGACAGUUGGGGGUAUUCAUAUUUAAUUGUCAGAGGUGAAAUUCUUAGAUUUAUUAAAGAUGAACUACUGCGAAAGCAUUUACCAAGGAUGUUUUCAUUAAUCAAGAACGAAAGUCAGGGGAUCGAAGAGGAUUAGAUACCCUCGUAGUCUUGACCAUAAACUAUGCCGACUCAGGAUUGGCACCCUUUUUUAACAGGGUGUCAGCACUGUAUGAAAAAUCAAAGUCUUUGGGUUCCGGGGGGAGUAUGGUCGCAAGGCUG